AUGAAGAGAAGCCCCAGAGCUAGGAGGAAAUCUCAGUCUCUUGACUUUGGGCUCUGGUGCCCCUUUGGACAAAACACCCUGCUUCUGAGGUCCCUGCGUGGCCCCCUGGCCGGGACUGAGAAUACUGGUCUCUGGUCGGUUCUGGCGGGGCCAGUUCUUAGUCUUGUGGAUGGAGGGUGGGGGUGGCAUUUUUUGAGUGUCUGCCGUGUAUCAUCUCCAGAAAAGAUGCUAACAGCACAGCCUUUGGAGUCAAACAGGAAGAAUUAUCAAUCUUCUUCUGCCACAUUCUCCUAUGUAACCUUGGACAAUUUAAUUAAUCUACGUCUCAGUUUCUCCAUCUGUGAAAUAGGAUGAUAAUAAUUCUCAUCUUAUAAGAGUUUUGUGGAGGUUAACUUAAAUAACUCAUCUAAAUUAUUUAGGAUUGUAUUUUGGCACUGUAUUUUGAAUGUUCAAAAUAUAGUUAGUGUUAUCAUUAAGUAUUAUUAGUUUAUUGAUGGUGCUAUUUUGUAGGAUUAAUAGAAAUCUUACUGGGGGAGGUGGUAUUGGGUGAGGGAUGAAGCACUGUAUCUAAAAAUCACCUUUUCCAGGAAUUUCCUGAUAAACCACCCCGUCUGAUUACUUCUUGGCUUUAUCUACUCAUUACAUGUAUAUUUAGUAUUGCUACUUGGUUCUUCUUUUAUUUUUUCUUUUCCUUGAACAUUGUCAUCGGUGCUACAAGGUCCUUCUCUCUUUUUAGGAAUAUACGGAUGUUUAAUUUAAUCAUAUAUUCCCUUUCAUCCCAGCCCCCUCUUCCACUAGCAACCAUUCGAAAAUAUUUAAUGUGUAUUAUUUAGCUUUAAGUGUUCUUGUAAAAUGUAUACUAGUGUCUUGUGCACAUGCACUUCUAAUUUUCAUAAAUGCCAUUAUAUUACUCUCUAUAACUCUGUUUCUCACAUUUGUUUUUACCAAGCACUGUUUUUUGCUAUGCACAUAUCUACUGUGUGCUUCUUAAGGAUGCAAAGCACUCCAUGGUGGGCAUUUAUCACAUUUUACAUAUUCACUCCCCCAUUGAUUUUCAGAUUGCCUUCCAUUCCCCACCACCGCCACCUGCAAAGAAAUGCAUCCUGUGCAUGUCAGUUUAUAACUUGUGCUGAAGAUUUCUUCAGAACGUAUUUCAAGGUGUGGAAUUGUCAAGUCAGAGUAUGAAACGGUAUGUUCCUUGAUAAUUGUUCUCAAGUAUCUCUUUCUGGGUACAGGUUGCAUAUCUCUAAUUAACUUGUGAGCUGUGGGGUCAACUCUUAGAUUUUAAAACAAAACAAAACAAAAAAACAG
rnacentral:lncRNA from 12 species